GGGAGAACUACAAGAGGAAAGGGAAUAUAAGAAGGGUCCUGGAGAGAGACUUACCUGGCAAGAUGAAAAUAUAGAAACUGCAUUUACCAUCAGAAAAUGGAAGAAAGCCAGACUAGCUCUACUUCUGAUCUUGAGAGGACCGUUUAAGAAGUCUGAAUUCGAUGCCAUCAUCAAUGACAUGCCCAGCACCAGGGUUAUGAAAGAUUAAAGGACAUUCAUUACUAAGCCCCCAGUUCAGCAAAAAAAUCAAUCAG